GCCAUCAAAGGAUCCUCCAUCUAUCAUGGCUGAAGUGUUUAGUCCAUUCAAGCCUGCAGCUAGUCCCCUCAUGUCACCAAGGUUAGCCUUUGGUGGCACAUUUCCUGCCAAGGUGUUUGUGUUUCCUGUUUGAUUAACAAAGUUGUCAGCACCAAUAUCAAUCAUAAAGCCUUCAGUAAAAUAAUGGCUGACAAGAGAAUAACCACAAAAAAAACAUUCUUUAUCAUUGGUGAUGUUCACGUGGAUCCUACUCAUAGAAAUGUGUCAAAAAGUAUGAUACUAAUAUUUUUCUCUAGUAAGAGGCAUGCCAAAACUCCAUGAUGGUCACUCCCAUUCCCUAUUUACUAGAACUAGUUUCAUCUUAUAAUAGUGCAUUAUAAACGAAUGCAUCUCAGAUAGUGUGAUUGAGUUUAGGCCUGAAUGGUAUUGGACUUAUCCUAAUAGCAAGCAUUUCUCUUGAUAAACAUCAGAAUGAAUUAUACCUGUAAUUGAGCCAACAAUGAUCAACCUCUUAGAAGGGUAAUCAGAUUUGUUCAAGUCCUCAAGCAAUAGGCGAGAAAGCAGGAAAUGGCCCAAAUGGUUUGUUCCAACACUGAGUUCGAAGCCAUCGGCAGUGUAUGUAGGUUCACUAGCAGUUGGCAAGUAAACUGCAGCAUUGCAAACAAGCACAUCCAGUGGCCUGCCUGAUUGCCUGAAGUUGUACACAAAUUGUCUGACACUAUCAAGGGAGGCAAGGUCCAAAUGUAUAACAGUGUAGUUUUCCUUAGCCAUGCCAGCAGCUUUUGCAGCCCUUUCAGCUUUCAGGAAAUCCCUGC
rnacentral:lncRNA from 1 species